GUGAGCGAGAGGACAGAGAGAGCGCUAGCUAGGAGCGAAUGGCGUACGUGUGUUGGCGUGGGUUGUGGCCCACAGCAGUCCGGGUGUGAGUGAACAGUUAUAAAGUUGACCGCUAUCAAUAAAGCGACGAAGUGCAUCGGCGACGUGAGUGUCUCUUCCUUAACCACAACCGGGGCAUUACAAUAUGUAUAAAUAUGUCAGAGACGUACAAUAUCAGGGUUAGCAAAAUGGAUACGUAAGUCUAGGGCGGGGGUUUCAAACUCAAUUUACCUGGGGGCCACUGGAGCUAAGUUCUGGGUGAGGCUGGGUUUUCAAAAACAUUUUUCAAAUUAAAAACAGGGGGAAAAAUCAAUUAAAAAAACUGUCUUCAAUGCUUUUGCUUGUGCUAUAUCUUACACUUUUUCAGUGCUUUGGUUCCGCUUUUACACAAGAAAAGCUCUGAUAAAACAUUCCACUGUUCUCAAAUAUCUUAAUUUGUAUUUUUCUACACAAAAUAAAAUAAAAACUCAAUAAACAAAUCAAGAAUAAAGAAAAUGAAUAAAUCAUUCAGUAAUAAUCAAUACAAUAAUAAUAAAACAGCAUAUAAGAAAAACUUAUAGAGAGAAAUGAGAAAUGAUUUUUUUCAGAUUCAAAUGAACAGUAUUAACAGUUAUUUAACCUUUAACAUGAGCAUUAAUGAAACUACAUAAUUUUACCCAAUUAGCAAGUUAGCAUCGUACUCGUUAGCAUUGUUACAUCUGGCAGCAGCGUCGGUAACUUUGACCACAUGCUUGAUGAGCUGCUGCUUUAUCUUGUGACUUGUAUUUACAGUUUUAGAGAGCUCUGUGCGCCUCCAGAGGGUAUCAUGUACCCAGAAAUGACAGCGGAGCUUCAGAUUUUCAGAGCAGUACAGCUCAAUGACCGUGGUCAUCUCAGUCAUGGAUGAGAGAGAAAGCAAAAGGGUAUUGGGUAUAGGGUAUUGAUUGAGGUAGCUUUCACUUUAACAUGAAUAUGAACUGACAAAGACAGGAGGUGCAGGUCAUAGUAUACUUGCACACUGCUUGCGUGCCAAACUUGCGAGGGAAAGUUCUCCUGCCUGCGCAGCGGGGACAUGUUUGCUACCCAUGAACAGGAAAUCUUGCUUUGUCUGCAUUCUUCCAAUUGUGCAUCUACAAAUAACACAGUAAGUAAAAACUAACUAAUCUCUAUUUUUUACAGCAGAAUGAAGCCACCUGACUGAAAUCAAACUGGCUAGCUAGCAAGUGCCUGAUUUUCAGUGCCACUCAUCAGUGAGGCUAAGAUUUGAAUAAUGUUAGCAACAUUUUUACCGUUGAUUUUUUUCUUCCAUUAAAUUUUCUUCCAGUUAAUUUUACAAACUGGUCACUCAGCAAAGCAGGGGAGAGAAAGAGCACGUCCAAAAUAUUUUUACAUCGAGCUGACAGAAUUAAGGACUUAUCUCGAACAAACUAAACACUUGGUGGUUGAUGGAAGAGUUAAAUGAGUAACAGAGAUGGCUGUGGUGGGUUUUAUUUGACUUUCUGUCAACGUUUACAUGAGGUGUAACGAUUUGUAUUAUGAUUAGACUGCGUUACGUUACGUUACGUUACGUUAUUUUACUUUACGUUACUUUAGGUUACGUUAGUUGCCGUGCCGCACCAACUGACAGUGAAGAUAAGAAAAUCAAAUGACCUUUUCUUUUCAUUCUCAGGUACAUCCACGCCCAUUUUGAGUUGCUUACAGACACCAAUGGGCUUCGUAGCUUGGAACUCAGUAUUGAGGAACGUGGAAGAGCCAUCACAGAAUACUUCAGAGUAAAACUGACCAACAAACAUAUCCUCUGUAACAGCGAAGGUACAGAGAUGGUUCAGCUGCUCCUGGCACACUUCAGAGAAGUGCAGUGUCUGCCUUUGUAGCCGACAUUGAAACAACCUUCACUCCUGCUGCAAGUCCUCGUCUGAUACUGCUUGUUUCAGGUGGAACAGAGAAUGUCAAUAUUGGAUGCUGGAUGAUCACUCUGGAGGGGCGUAUAAUAUCUCAGGGCAUCACGCCAUCCUUUUUGAUGGGACUGGCUGCUUUUGCAGUCUACUACAUAUUCAACCUUCAACAUCCAGAGGGGGCAGCUUGUACUCUGGAAUGUAUUCACAGUUGCUUCAUUCAUAUCAAUCCAGAGAGAGGAUGGAAGACCACCUGAGGAAAGGGUGUCUCCAAGAAGACUGGUAUGAUGGUUCCAGAAGAAGUCUGCCACAGUGAAUACACAUGUCUCCACACUACUGAAGAACCUCAUGGACUUUGAAUAGGACUUCAUAUACGUAGAGCAUCAACACUGCUAGCCAUAGAGACCAACAACGGCCGGGAACAUGAUGAUCAUCUCUCUCUGACUAAAUAAUCUUUGCUUUGAAUCAGGACUGUCCACGCCUACUCAGACGAAGAUAAACAUGCACCUACCUUGCAGAACUCUUUAGGUAAAGGUAAAACGCAAGCCUCAAAGGACUCUAUUGAGGUAAAGAACAAGCCUACCUAACCACUUUACUAAGAGACUAUGUUACAGAACUCUUUUAAAAGGUCUUGUUUUUCCCCAAAUGUUGCCAUUGAUGCAUAUUUAAGUUAUAUAAGUUCUUGCUGAGAUGCUGUAUAUUUCCAUACAUGGCAGGAAAUUGAUGUUCUGUAUAUAUAACUGCUUUUUGAUAGAACAUAUGUGUACCUCACAGGACUAUUUUAAGUUGGAAAAACACCAGCAUACCUACAGUUUUCUUCAGAAAUUUUGCAAUUGAUGAAUAUUUUCAUAUUCAUAUUCAGUUCUUACUGGUGUGUAUUUUCACAAUGGUCUUGGAAAAGUGUGUUUUCAAACUGUUCUUACUGAUACAUGGUUGCAAACAGCAGAGAAUACAUUGGAGUACAUUUAGAUACAGUACACAUUCAUAAGCAUUCCUCACACAAUUUGUUAGUCACUUACUGUGUUUGCCGUGUAUUAGUUGCUUCGGUAUUCAGCCCAAUUGUUUGAUCGAAGGUAAAGUUCAAUAUGGUAAGAUAAGACACUAUGAAAAAGAAUAGUAUGGAAACGGUUUUGUUGUGUUUUCAUGUCUGGUAAGGUCUCAUACAUGCAUUUGAAGAAUUUAUUUAGUUUAAUUAUCUGGGAUAUCUAAGGGUUUUUAGUUUCUUUGAUUAUUCUUAUUGUAUUUUACAGUAGCAGUAUUCAUGUUGACACUGCCCGUUUAAAUAAAUACGUAUUUGUGUGAUUUAUAUUCUUUGUAAAUUCUCUGUAAUUUAACAGGAAAAUUGUUACAGUGUAAUUUUACAGUAGUAAGUCUUUAAUUGAGAAUAAUGUAGGAACUGUAAAAUAACAGUAUAUUACUGUAAUGUUAUACUAUCUACAGCACAGUACUGUAAUACUUUUACAGUAGUAUACUGUUGUUGUCGAUCACAGUAGCACACCGUAAAAUAACAGUUUGAAGCUGGCGAUUGUAGCUGCCAGUAGUGUACUGUAAUUUAACAGGAACAUUUGUUACAGUGUGCAGUUAAAUGAAUAAUUGUGUUGAGUCUUUGUACCUGUGAGCAUGUAGAAGUCAUUGAAGUAGACAGGGUUGUCCUCCUACAUUAGUCACCAGAGACAAAUUCAUACUGGAAAAUCAGUGUGACAGCACAAAUUCCACACACAAAAAAAACAGUUUUGUGUCAAGCCACCUCUUGGGCGAGGUUGGAGGCUCCUCCAAAGAGAAAGGCCAUGUUUCCUGCCACAGCUAAAGCAUGGCCGUAUCUGUCACAAAAACACAGACAGUGCAGAGAUGGAAGUGUUACAGUGUUUUGUGCCAUAAAUGAUUAACACUGUAUAAAAAAAAGAAAAAGCGCUAGUUAAAAGAGGCGUAAUAAGUGGGCUCACGUUACUCACGGUCUCACGCUCCUAUAAGUCGAGAUCUAUAACCAAACAUGUGCUUUCAUUAUUGAUAGGCCUGUCUCUCCCUACUUUGCAACGUCCUUCCAGUGUGCAGGACAAUCACAGGAAUAAAAGUAAGGAGAUAUUCUCUUUUUGUAUUACAAUCAUAGAAUUAUUGGAUUUAAUAGAGGAGGAACCGUACCUCGCCCAGAUGUGGGAUACCGGGGCCUCACCCUGGAGCCAGGCCCGGGGGUGCCUGGUGCCUGGGCCCAGCAUGAAGGAGCCACACGGGCUCUCCCCCUCGUACACCCACUACCUACGGGGGCAAGCAUAAGGGUCCGGUGCAUUGUGUGUUGGGUGGCGGUCAAGGGCGCCACCAUCCUACUGAGACUGCUGCCCCCGCAACCUGGACCCGGAUAAGCGGACGAAAAUGGAUGGAUGGAUUUAAUCUUUUUAUUUAUUUAUCUUUAAUAUAUUUGUGUCACUGUCACGCCCUGUGUGGGUUCCCUCGUGACAGUUUGUUUGGUUUCCUUUCUGGACUCUUAUUUUGUAUUUGACUUCCUGUUUUGCCUUUUCUGCCUCCGUUGUCUUAGUUACCCACACCUGUCCCUAAUUUGAGUAUCUAUUUAGUUCAGGUGUGUGCGUCUCCCUGUGUGGGAUUAUUAUCGUUUGUCCGUCAGCUACCUGAGUUGCUUUGUUCUUCUGUUGCUAUUAUUGCACAGAAUAAAUAUUAUUUACCUGCACU